rnacentral:tRNA from 1 species
GGUAUAGUGCAGUUGGUUAACGCGCCAGAUUGUGGCUCUGGAGACCGUGGGUUCGAGUCCCACUAC